CGCAGGAUGACAAAAAAUGUUUCAUUGUAGUGUGCGCUGAGCUGGACGCCUGCUGAGAAAUCGAACAUAUCGCAAAUCACUCCACUCUGAGG
rnacentral:snoRNA from 1 species